UGGGGAUUCGCCAAGCGGUAAGGCACCGCCCUUUGACGGCGGCAUUCACAGGUUCAAAUCCUGUAUCCCCAGCCA
rnacentral:tRNA from 1 species